GGCGGCGUGCUUAACACAUGCAAGUCGAGCGGAAAGGCCCUUCGGGGUACUCGAGCGGCGAACGGGUGAGUAACACGUGAGUAACCUGCCCCGAACUUUGGGAUAACCCUCGGAAACGGGGGCUAAUACCGAAUACGACACGCCUUCGCAUGGGGUGCGUGUGGAAAGUUUUUCGGUUUGGGAUGGACUCGCGGCCUAUCAGCUUGUUGGUGGGGUAAUGGCCUACCAAGGCGACGACGGGUAGCCGGCCUGAGAGGGCGACCGGCCACACUGGGACUGAGACACGGCCCAGACUCCUACGGGAGGCAGCAGUGGGGAAUAUUGCACAAUGGGCGGAAGCCUGAUGCAGCGACGCCGCGUGAGGGAUGACGGCCUUCGGGUUGUAAACCUCUUUCAGCAGGGACGAAGCGCAAGUGACGGUACCUGCAGAAGAAGCGCCGGCCAACUACGUGCCAGCAGCCGCGGUAAGACGUAGGGCGCGAGCGUUGUCCGGAUUUAUUGGGCGUAAAGAGCUCGUAGGCGGCUUGUCGCGUCGAAUGUGAAAUCUCGGGGCUCAACUCCGAGCUUGCAUUCGAUACGGGCAGGCUAGAGUUCGGUAGGGGAGACUGGAAUUCCUGGUGUAGCGGUGAAAUGCGCAGAUAUCAGGAGGAACACCGGUGGCGAAGGCGGGUCUCUGGGCCGAUACUGACGCUGAGGAGCGAAAGCGUGGGGAGCGAACAGGAUUAGAUACCCUGGUAGUCCACGCUGUAAACGUUGGGCGCUAGGUGUGGGGACCCUCUCCGGGUUUCUGCGCCGCAGCUAACGCAUUAAGCGCCCCGCCUGGGGAGUACGGCCGC
rnacentral:rRNA from 1 species